GACGAACCGUGCGAACGUUGUUCGGAAUCACUGGGCAUAAAGGGCGCGUAGGCGGACUCUCAAGUCAGGGGUGAAAUCCUCCAGCUUAACUGGAGAACUGCCUUUGAUACUGAAAGUCUCGAGUAAGGUAGGGGCAUGCGGAACUGAUGGUGGAGCGGUGAAAUGUGUUGAUAUCAUCAGGAACUCCGGUGGCGAAAGCGGCAUGCUGGACCUUCACUGACGCUGAGGCGCGAAAGCCAGGGGAGAGAACGGGAUUAGAUACCCCGGUAUUCCUGGCCCUAAACGAUGGGUACUAGGUUGUAGACUCGACACGGGUUUACAGCCGGAGCAAAUGUGUUAAGUACCCCGCCUGGGGAGUAUGGUCGCAAGGCUGAA
rnacentral:rRNA from 1 species